GGUGGCGUGGUCCGAAUUGGUUAGGCGGCAGAUCGCAGCUCUGCACUAUGGGGGUUCAAGUCCCUUCGCCACCUCCA
rnacentral:tRNA from 1 species